AGGUAUAUGAACUCACGCCUUUGAUUUGACUGACCCGAGCCUCCCAAUAAAGUAUGCGCUGACUUUAUUUGUUCUAGGCUUCUAGCGAGCUGCUGACUUUCUUUUCUUCUGUUUUUUUUGGCAAGGGCGAGCUGCUGACUUUCUUUUCUUCUGUUUUUGUUUUGCGAGGGGAGCCGCUGACAUUCUCAAAAGUCAGAAUUUUCUGGGUCAAAGUUGCAUGCCGCCUCGCCUCUCGGGUGUGUAGGGGAGACGGAGAGUGGUGAAUGUCAAUGGAGGAUGCGACGUCACGUCAGACCUUACGUCAGGGUGUUGGUGUGUGCCUGGCUCCCGGUCGCAGCUAAGUUUACGAUCCGUUGGCGAAACGACCGUGCAGUGAGAUCACAUUUG
rnacentral:lncRNA from 1 species